rnacentral:rRNA from 1 species
UGAGGAAUAUUGGUCAAUGGACGCAAGUCUGAACCAGCCAUGCCGCGUGAAGGAUGAAGGCGUUCUGCGUUGUAAACUUCUUUUAUCUGGGAAGAAACCACUUUUUUCUAAGAGUGUUGACGGUACCAGAGGAAUAAGCACCGGCUAACUCCGUGCCAGCAGCCGCGGUAAUACGGAGGGUGCAAGCGUUAUCCGGAUUCACUGGGUUUAAAGGGUGUGUAGGCGGGCUAUUAAGUCCGAGGUGAAAUCUCCGAGCUUAACUCGGAAACUGCCUUGGAUACUAUUAGUCUUGAAUAUCGUUGAGGUUGGCGGAAUAUGUCAUGUAGCGGUGAAAUGCUUAGAUAUGACAUAGAACACCGAUUGCGAAGGCAGCUGGCUAAACGAUAAUUGACGCUGAGGCACGAAAGCGUGGGGAUCAAACAGGAUUAGAUACCCCUGUAGUCC